rnacentral:piRNA from 1 species
UGGGAAUUGUCAGCUAGUAACUGGAUGUGU